UGAAUACGAGACGCUAAGGCGUCGAAGUAGUGUAUGUCAUGCUUCCAAGAAAAGCUUGCACUGUCAUAGAUAAAAAACGCCUGUACCAUAACCGACACAGGUGGGUAGGUAGAGUAUACUAAGGGGCGCGAGAUAACUCUCUCUAAGGAACUCGGCAAAAUAACUCCGUAACUUCGGGAGAAGGAGUGCCUUAUUCGUAAGGUUGCAAUAACAAGAUCCAAGCAACUGUUUAUCAAAAACACAGGUCUCCGCUAAGUCGUAAGACGAUGUAUGGGGGCUGACGCCUGCCCAGUGCCAGAAGGUUAAAGAAGUCGGUUAGCAAUUGCGAAGCUGGUAACUGAAGCCCUGGUGAACGGCGGCCGUAACAAUAACGGUCCUAAGGUAGCGAAAUUUCUUGUCGGGUAAGUUUUGACCCGCACGAAAGGCGUAAUGAUCUGGAUACUGUCUCGGAGAGGGGCUCGGUGAAAUAGACUUGUCUGUGAAGAUGCGGACUACCUGCAUUAGGACAGAAAGACCCUAUGAAGCUUUACUGUAACUUGAAAUUGAAAUUGGACUUUAUUUGUGCAGUGUAGGUGGGAGGCGUUGAUUAUAAUCUUGCGGGAUUAUUGGAGCCAUCAGUGAGAUACCACCCUUGUAAUGUUAGAUUUCUAACUUUGAAUCAUUAUUUGGUCAAAGAACAGUUUCAGGCGGGCAGUUUGACUGGGGCGGUCGCCUCCUAAAUGGUAACGGAGGCGUACAAAGGUUUCCUCUGAACGGUUAGAAAUCGUAUUUAGAGUGUAAAGGUAUAAGGAAGUUUGAUUGUGAGACCUACAAGUCGAGCAGGGACGAAAGUCGGUCUUAGUGAUCUGACGGUACUGAGUGGAAAGGCCGUCACUCAACGGAUAAAAGUUACACUAGGAUAACAGGCUGAUCCCCCCCAAGAGUUUACAUCGACGGGGAGGUUUGGCACCUCGAUGUCGGCUCAUCGCAUCCUGGGGCGGUAGUACGUCCCAAGGGUUGGGCUGUUCGCCCAUGAAAGCGGUACGCGAGCUGGGUUCAGAACGUCGUGAGACAGUUCGGUCCAUAUCCGGUGUAGGCGUUAGAAUAUUGAGAGGAGCCUUCUUUAGUACGAGAGGACCGAGAAGGACAUACCUCUGGUGUACCAAUUAUCGUGCCAACGGUAAACGCUGGGUAGCUAUGUAUGGAGUGGAUAACCGCUGAAAGCAUCUAAGUGGGAAGCCCACCUCAAGAUAAGUAUUCUCAUCACGUAAGUGAGUAAGGUCACGGUAAGACUAACCGUUUGAUAGGCAUUAAGUGUAAGUACAGUAAUGUAUGUGCUGAGAUGUCCUAAUAGACCGAGGAC
rnacentral:rRNA from 1 species